UACAGAGGGGGCAAGCGUUGUUCGGAAUUACUGGGCGUAAAGGGCGCGUAGGCGGCCGCCUAAGUCAGACGUGAAAUCCCUCAGCUUAACUGGGGAACUGCGUCUGAUACUGGCGAGCUUGAGUGCAGGAGAGGAACGCGGAAUUCCAGGUGUAGCGGUGAAAUGCGUAGAUAUCUGGAGGAACACCGGUGGCGAAGGCGGCGUUCUGGACUGCAACUGACACUGAGAGACGAAAGCCAGGGGAGCAAACGGG
rnacentral:rRNA from 1 species